CCUCUGGAUGAUGAAGAGAUGGUCUCAUACAUCCUUAUUGGUCUUGAUGUCGACUUCAAUCUGAUUGUUUCAGCUAUCGUUGCACGAGUUGAACCAGUUUCAGUCAGUGAAUUGUAUGCCUAACUACUCCGUUUUGAAA